rnacentral:rRNA from 1 species
UGCCAGCCGCCGCGGUAAUACGGAGGGGGCUAGCGUUGUUCGGAAUUACUGGGCGUAAAGCGCUCGUAGGCGGAUUGGUCAGUCAGAGGUGAAAGCCCAGGGCUCAACCUUGGAAUUGCCUUUGAUACUGCCAGUCUUGAGUUCGGGAGAGGUGAGCGGAAUUCCGAGUGUAGAGGUGAAAUUCGUAGAUAUUCGGAGGAAUACCGGUUACGAAGGUUGACAACUGGACAGGCACUGACGCUGAGGCACGAAAGCGUGGGGAGCAAACAGGAUUAGAUA